CACCCCUCCUCUGGAGAAGCCCCUAGAUCACAGCUCCUCACCAUGGACUGGACCUGAAGGAUCCUCUUCUUGAUGGCAGCAGCAACAGGUGCCCACUCCCUGCAGCUGGUGCAGUCUGGGCCUGAGGUGAAGAAGCCUGGGGCCUCAGUGAAGGUCUCCUAUAAGUCUUCUGGUUACACCUUCACCAUCUAUGGUAUGAAUUGGGUAUGAUAGACCCCUGGACAGGGCUUUGAGUGGAUGUGAUGGAUCAUCACCUACACUGGGAACCCAACGUAUACCCACGGCUUCACAGGAUGGUUUGUCUUCUCCAUGGACACGUCUGUCAGCACGGCGUGUCUUCAGAUCAGCAGCCUAAAGGCUGAGGACACGGCCGAGUAUUACUGUGCGAAGUACACAGUGUGGAAACCCACAUCCCGAGAGUUUCAGAAAGCCUGAGGAAGGAGGCAGCUGUGCUGAGCUGAGGCAGUGAGCUCUGUCACAGGCCACAUGGACCUAAAUCCUUGAUGGAGAUUACAGGACUACGUAAAUUGGACUGAUCGUUUUUAUGCUGUUAAAUUAAUAGAAGGCCAGCCCACUUGUUCAGCUCCUAAGAAGAGAGCCCAGGUUUAUCCAGAUUAUACAACACAACCAGCUUCUGAUGACUCUCCUGUUACAACAUCCAUGGAGAUAUUUUGUGUAUUAUAUAAUUCACCAAACUAAUGUGAAAUGCCCAAGUUGCAAUACUGCACACCCUAGGGUAUGUUCUUGCAAUUCAGCGGAGGAGAAAUUCUUUCAGAGACAGAUGGAUCUGAAUUGGGGUCCUGUCCCAGGUGCAGCUACAGCAGUGGGGCGCAGGACUGUUGAAGCCUUCGGAGACCCUGUCCCUCACCUGCGCUGUCUAUGGUGGGUCCUUCAGUGGUUACUACUGGAGCUGGAUCCGCCAGCCCCCAGGGAAGGGGCUGGAGUGGAUUGGGGAAAUCAAUCAUAGUGGAAGCACCAACUACAACCCGUCCCUCAAGAGUCGAGUCACCAUAUCAGUAGACACGUCCAAGAACCAGUUCUCCCUGAAGCUGAGCUCUGUGACCGCCGCGGACACGGCUGUGUAUUACUGUGCGAGAG
rnacentral:lncRNA from 1 species